AGUACAUUGAUUAUGCCAUUGUUUUUCUCGUUUGAAUUGUUUUACAUUUGUCAAUUCGGGCCCUUUAUUGCUAACAAUGCGAUAAGGGCUUUGCUUAUUGUUGAAUGCCGUACGGUGACCUAUAGUUAUAAUGUAUUUGUAAUAGUUGGUCUUUUGUGGAGAUUUGUCUAAUUGGCAAUCGACACGUACCUACAUGUAAAGUAAUGAAAUUAUCAAUACUUUUACCUUUAUGAUUAGCUAUGUUUUAGCAUUUUAACAUUUUUAUCUGUACAUAUUUCUAGGAUUUAGUGCUUGUGCAUAAUAAAACGGACUUAUCUUGCUGGAAAUCCCACUUCCACCUCAUCGUGGGUGAGUAGGGGACCAAGAC
rnacentral:lncRNA from 1 species